rnacentral:lncRNA from 10 species
AAAAAAAAAAAAGAAAAGAAAAAAAGAAAAGAAGUUGAAGGAGAUGAACUGAUCUCUGGGAAUAGAGUCUGCCGCCAUCCUUCCUGCAUCAACCAGGGGUGCUCUUCUCAGGGGUCACGAGAAAUACUCACUUUUGCUGAUUCUGGAACCUAACAUCUUUCCGGCCGUGGAAAAAGAAAAAUACCUGAGAAAUCACUUACAUGGGAGGAAGCCAGUUUCUAUGUUGUGAGUUGCCCUUAUGGAAAUGUCCAUGUGGCCAGAAACUGAGGAAGGCCUUUAGCCAACAGUCGGAGAGGAGCUGAGCCUCUUGGUUCAACAGAUGGUAAGAAACUGAGGCCUGCCAACAACCACAAGAAUGGGCUUGGAAGCUGAUCCUUUAGCCCCAGAAUUAUAGUUUUAUUAAGUAAGGCAACAGAACUCAACAUUUGUUA